GCUUACGGACAUACCACCCUGAGCGCGCCCGAUCUCGUCUGAUCUCGGAAGCUAAGCAGGGUCGGGCCUGGUUAGUACUUGGAUGGGAGACCGCCUGGGAAUACCAGGUGCUGUAAGCU
rnacentral:rRNA from 1 species